rnacentral:lncRNA from 1 species
AGCUUCAUCUUUGCUAGCAUUGGAGCAAAUUCCCCGACAAGCCCUUGUUGGGCCAAGUAGAGUCCUUGGACCAGCAACUCAGCAUCACAAGGUAGCUCAUAAGAAGCACAGUCUCUCUGAGCUGCUGACGCAGCAAAGUUAGAGGAGUACUUGCCUAGUGUGCUUAAAGACUGGAGUCGAGGAAGGGAGAACAAAAGUUCAAAAUCAUCCUCAGCUGCGUUGUUAGAGAGAGCCUAGAAUCUCAGACUCCAUCCAUAAUUGGCAUGUUUACAAGGUCUCGUAUAUGGAGAACUUGGGAAGAACUGUUAGUGGGCUGGCAGAGGGUAGCCCCGUGACAUAUUUUGACGUGUAGAAAGAGCGAGAAGACGUCAAUGCUGAUGCCUGCUCAAGUGUCUUCCUCCCUCCCUGUUGGAAGCUUACGCUGGAUCUCAGACAGAAUCUGGACCUUCAGUGGAGCAUGGAGACUGUGUGUGACAUGCACCAAAGCAUGCUCCUGAUCAGAUUGAUCAUGACAAGCUAUGAGGGACAAGCUGGUAAGCAAUGUUCCUCUGUGGUUUCUGCAUCGAGUCCUACCUCCAGGUUCCUGCCCUGAAUUCCUUCAGUGACAGACUCUUACUUCAACAUUUAAGACGAGACAAACCCUCUCCUCUCCAGGUUGUGUUUAGCCAUGGUGUUUCUCAUCACAGUAGAAGUCCCAACUAAGACAACCUGUAAACUGAACACACCAUUUCCUCUAACACCAUUUGCGUUGUAUCCCAGCCACGUAGAAGCAAACAAGGACAGAAGUUUUUGAUUUCUACUUGGAAUUAAGACAGAGUAGUAGGAAUGAAUAUGAAGUGAUACACCUGGCAAGAACAGCUCAGGGAGAGCUCAAAUGAUGGCAGAGAGGCAAGGCAGAGACCACAGCAUGGCUGGAUUCCUAAAAAAGUGUUUAAGUGCAUCAAAAUAUGCACUGGAUUCAGGUGCUCACCAAAUGCAGUACAACUGUAGAAGAAAGGUGGGAGGGGGUCUCUUAUGUAGAGAUUGUUGGGGUUCAUCUACAUGACAUUUAGCUCAAUACUAUAUGCUUAGUUCCUCUAGCAUAUAGGCGCCCUGUGACUGAGUAGCUAGCCAAAUGGACUAUUCUGUCCACAGAGUGCUGCAUGAAAGUUUCCAUUCAUUUGUUCUUUCUCAGUCCCUUGCAAGUACUGAAGGCUUCUGAGGACCUCAGAGGUGAAGCUGCAACCAAAUGGGAGGAGCCAGUGCUCCAACAGUAAGGUACUGUGUGAAGCCACCCAAAGUUAAGUUUUGGUUGUCAAUGCUUCUAGUACUAGUUGUCCUAAAUAAUGUCAUCUCUCUUUUGGUGUGAUGUUUUCUUUUACACUAUUGUAGCAAGAAAAUAGAGGAUUGCAGAAAAUAAAAAUAUUGCCC